rnacentral:rRNA from 1 species
GAUGAACGCUGGCGGCGUGCCUAAUACAUGCAAGUCGAGCGAACAGACGAGGAGCUUGCUCCUCUGACGUUAGCGGCGGACGGGUGAGUAACACGUGGAUAACCUACCUAUAAGACUGGGAUAACUUCGGGAAACCGGAGCUAAUACCGGAUAAUAUAUUGAACCGCAAGGUUCAAUAGUGAAAGACGGAUUUGCUGUCACUUAAAGCUGGAUCCGCGCCGCAUUAGCUAGUUGGUAAGGUAACGGCUUACCAAGGCAACGUUGCGUAGCCGACCUGAGAGGGUGAUCGGCCACACUGGAACUGAGACACGGUCCAGACUCCUACGGGAGGCAGCAGUAGGGAAUCUCCCGCAAUGGGCGAAAGCCUGACGGAGCAACGCCGCGUGAGUGAUGAAGUUCUUCGGAUCUUAAACCUCUGUUAUUAGGGAAGAACAAAUGUGUAAGUAACUAUGCACGUCUUGACGGUACCUAAUCAGAAAGCCACGGCUAACUACGUG